rfam:TPA: Bos taurus chromosome 13, whole genome shotgun sequence.
ACCCAGCUAGUUCAGCUGGUAGAGCGUGGGACUCCUGAUCCCAGCAUUGUGGGUUCGAGCCCCACGUUGGGCA